GAUGAACGCUAGCGGAAGGCCUAAUACAUGCAAGUCGAGGGGUAACAGGGGAGCUUGCUCCCGCUGACGACCGGCGAACGGGUGAGUAACGCGUACGUAACCUACCUUCAAGAGAGGGAUAGCCCUGGGAAACUGGGAUUAAUACCUCAUGGCAUCAUAAGAUCACCUGAUCUAAUGAUUAAAGCUGAGGCGCUUGAAGAUGGGCGUGCGUUCUAUUAGAUAGUUGGUGAGGUAACGGCUCACCAAGUCAGCGAUAGAUAGGGGGCGUGAGAGCGUGGUCCCCCACACGGGUACUGAGACACGGACCCGACUCCUACGGGAGGCAGCAGUAAGGAAUAUUGGACAAUGGGCGAAAGCCUGAUCCAGCCAUUCCGCGUGUAGGAUGACGGCCCUCUGGGUUGUAAACUACUUUUAUUUGGGAAGAAACCCUGGGAUUUAUCCCGGGCUGACGGUACCAAAAGAAUAAGCACCGGCUAAUUCCGUGCCAGCAGCCGCGGUAAUACGGAAGGUGCAAGCGUUAUCCGGAAUCACUGGGUUUAAAGGGUGCGUAGGCGGUUGCGUAAGUCAGAAGUGAAAGCUCACAGCUUAACUGUGGAAUUGCUUUUGAUACUGCGCGACUAGAAUUAGGUUGAGGUUGGCGGAAUGUGACAUGUAGCGGUGAAAUGCAUAGAUAUGUCAUAGAACACCAAUUGCGAAGGCAGCUGACUGGACCUAUAUUGACGCUGAGGCACGAAAGCGUGGGGAGCGAACAGG
rnacentral:rRNA from 1 species